CCAGUUGGUCUAAUGGUAGUGCAGGUAUGUUGUUGACAGCAUGUUGUAUCUGAAGUUUGAAGAGCUUGCAUUAUGUGUGAAGUAGUAAUAUUUUCUGUCUUUGAGUUGUUUUAUCUAAUCCAUUAAGUUUGAAACUUCAAACUAAAUAUGGGUGUAAUCUUGCUCAUUGCAGAAUUUCUGUUACUACUUAUUCAGAAAUCUUGGGUGGUCGCUUAAAUGGCCUGACCCAUUAAGCUGCCAAUUUUUUGCCUGCUUAACUUUGUUUCGAAGUGUUGCUUAGUUCAAUAGGAUGGUUUGGCCUUGAACCAAAUUACUUCCAUUGUUGCUGAUAGAUCAUGUAGAAGGUUUUUCAUUAUAAGAUUUCCCUUGUGAUAACUGAUAUCAUGGAUGAUUAUCUUAUAAAAUCUUCUCUCUGUCUAUGUUUCUCUUCUGGCUGUAGAUUUUCAAUUUUGGAAACAAAAGAUAUAUGGAAUGGAAUGGAAGUUUCAUGGUUUUGAAUUUUGAAAGUAGCUAUUGCCGUUCAUCUUCAGUAUGAUCUGAUCUGGAUCUACUCAUCAAUCAUUUUUCGAUCAUGACAAUUACUAUAGGAAUAGUGCCUAUUAUGUUGGAGAAUUUAAUAGAAUUGUAUUUAUGGUCAUUUUUGGGUAAUAUUUUGACGACGUUCAAUAAAUUCUUUGGAUUAUCUUAUUUCAGAAAGCAGCCCCAAGACAAA
rnacentral:misc_RNA from 1 species